rnacentral:rRNA from 1 species
AUUGAACGCUGGCGUCAUGCUUUACACAUGCAAGUCGAACGGUAACAGGUUAAGCUGACGAGUGGCGAACGGGUGAGUAAUGCAUCGGAACGUGCCCGAUCGUGGGGGAUAACGCAGCGAAAGCUGCGCUAAUACCGCAUACGAUCUGAGGAUGAAAGCGGGGGACCGUAAGGCCUCGCGCGAUCGGAGCGGCCGAUGUCAGAUUAGGUAGUUGGUGGGGUAAAGGCUCACCAAGCCAACGAUCUGUAGCUGGUCUGAGAGGACGACCAGCCACACUGGGACUGAGACACGGCCCAGACUCCGACGGGAGGCAGCAGUGGGGAAUUUUGGACAAUGGGCGAAAGCCUGAUCCAGCAAUGCCGCGUGCAGGAAGAAGGCCUUCGGGUUGUAAACUGCUUUUGUACGGAGCGAAAAGGCUCUCUCUAAUACAGGGGGCUCAUGACGGUACCGUAAGAAUAAGCACCGGCUAACUACGUGCCAGCCGCCGCAGUAA